AGCGUUUGGGACCGUGGCGGCGUGCUUAACACAUGCAAGUCGAACGGUAACAGAUAGAGCUUGCUCUAUGCUGACGAGUGGCGCACGGGUGAGUAAUGUAUAGCUAACAUGCCCUAUAGAGGGGGAUAGCCACUGGAAACGGUGAUUAAUACCCCAUACUCCUUCUAAACAUAAGUUUAGUUGGGAAAGUUUUUCGCUAUAGGAUUGGGCUAUAUUGUAUCAGCUAGUUGGUGAGGUAAGAGCUUACCAAGGCUAUGACGCAUAGCGGGUCUGAGAGGAUGAUCCGCCACACUGGAACUGAGACACGGUCCAGACUCCUACGGGAGGCAGCAGUGGGGAAUAUUGGGCAAUGGGCGAAAGCCUGACCCAGCAACGCCGCGUGGAGGAUGACGCAUUUCGGUGUGUAAACUCCUUUUAUUAGGGAAGAUAAUGACGGUACCUAAUGAAUAAGCACCGGCUAACUCCGUGCCAGCAGCCGCGGUAAUACGGAGGGUGCAAGCGUUACUCGGAAUCACUGGGCGUAAAGCGCGCGCAGGCGGACUAAUAAGCUAGAAGUGAAAUGCUGUGGCUCAACCAUAGAACUGCUUCUAGAACUGUUAGUCUAGAGUCUGGGAGGGGAAGAUGGAAUUAGUUGUGUAGGGGUAAAAUCCGUAGAGAUAACUAGGAAUACCAAAAGCGAAGGCGAUCUUCUGGAACAGUACUGACGCUGAGGCGCGAAAGCGUGGGGAGCAAACAGGAUUAGAUACCCUGGUAGUCCACGCCCUAAACGAUGAAUGUUAGUCGUUGGAGUGCUAGUCACUUCAGUGAUGCAGUUAACACAUUAAACAUUCCGCCUGGGGAGUACGGUCGCAAGAUUAAAACUCAAAGGAAUAGACGGGGACCCGCACAAGUGGUGGAGCAUGUGGUUUAAUUCGAAGAUACGCGAAGAACCUUACCUGGCCUUGACAUUGAAGGAACCUGGUAGAGAUACUGGGGUGCCCUUUUAGGGAGCCUGAAAACAGGUGCUGCACGGCUGUCGUCAGCUCGUGUCGUGAGAUGUUGGGUUAAGUCCCGCAACGAGCGCAACCCUCGUGACUAGUUACUAACGGUUAGGCCGAGGACUCUAGUCAGACUGCCUUCGCAAGGAGGAGGAAGGUGAGGACGACGUCAAGUCAUCAUGGCCCUUAUGCCCAGGGCUACACACGUGCUACAAUGGCCGGUACAAAGGGCAGCGACACCGCGAGGUGAAGCAAAUCCCAAAAAGCCGGUCUCAGUUCGGAUCGGAGUCUGCAACUCGACUCCGUGAAGGUGGAAUCGCUAGUAAUCCCGGAUCAGCAUGCCGGGGUGAAUACGUUCCCGGGCCUUGUACACACCGCCCGUCACACCACGAAAGCUGGCUGUACCAGAAGUCGCUGAGCUAACCCCGCAAGGGGAGGCAAGCGCCCAAGGUAUGGUCAG
rnacentral:rRNA from 1 species